rnacentral:lncRNA from 1 species
AUGGAGAGACGUUUACGUGACAGGCUGGAUCUCUCCAGACUUCUUACGCCUGGGAUAAAUGCACAAGUAUUUGAGGUUCUCAGAACGGCUCCCUUAACAGAGGCCGGCAGCCAACCGGCAGUCCCUUUCCCUGCCCGGGCAGACGAUCAAGGGUCGCGGGUAGCACCUGAUGUCCUCCUGGCCGCGCCCAGCUCUCCCACGUCUCGCCUUCCUAGGAUGCUUCCAGGGACGGCCGGGAUGGGCCCCGAUCGGCCCUUGAGCGCAGUCUUCUACGGCUCUGACUCCCUACCGUACGGGGGCGCUGCCGCUUGCCCUAUGCUGGCAUUAACCCUUGGGAGACGCGCGCUCCCAGGCCCUUCACUCCUCUCCCUUUCUUUCCGUGGGGCGGAGCUAAAGGCAGGCGGGGUUUGA